ACAAUAAAUCAGAAAGCGGAAGCACGGCAAGAAGAAGAGAGGAGAGGGGAAGGAAGGAAAGAAAGGACGACGCCGGCUAGGGCUUCGCUGUCGUCGUCGAGCGCCAGUGACAGAGAGCUCGAGGAAGAGAGAAAACGCGAUGGAAGAGAGAAGAAGGGGGUGCUCCGUCGCCGCUGAAGCUCCACCGCCACUGCUAGGGGUUGCUGUGCCGCCGCGAAGGAGCUCGAAGGGAGUACUCUCUGUCACCAGUUCGAAGGUGUGUAUGGUUUUGAUAGUGAUGAUGAACUGCAAUGGCUAAUUGAGAUAGAGAAGGCCACAAGCAGAACUAGAUCGCUAUUUGGAAGCUUCACAAAUUAGGGAGAGAGCAGUUGACAGGAUUAAUAAUGUUAUUGGAACAUACAACGAUUUGAGGCUCAGAAUAUUUUCUAAACACCCAGAUUUGUUCCCUGAAGAGGUGAGUAUCAUUCACUGGAAGAGAUCAGACUUUUAAAGAAAGUACUGAUGUUUCAGAGGAAGUGUUUGAGCAUUUUGAUGAUUUCACUGUAGCUUCUUCAUGGGAAAGGUUCAUUUCUAAAAUUGAGGCAAUUUGUCGUCUCUGGAUGGCUGAUGGUCCUAAUAAUUUAUUGG